CUGGCUCAGAACGAACGCUGGCGGCAGGCUUAAUACAUGCAAGUCGAACGGCUGUAGCAAUACAGCAGUGGCAGACGGGUGAGUAACACGUGGGAACCUACCUAGGGGUACGGAAUAACUCAGGGAAACUUGUGCUAAUACCGUAUACGACCUCAGGGUGAAAGAUUUAUCGCCCCUAGAUGGGCCCGCGUUGGAUUAGCUAGUUGGUGAGGUAAAAGCUCACCAAGGCGACGAUCCAUAGCUGGUCUGAGAGGAUGAUCAGCCACACUGGGACUGAGACACGGCCCAGACUCCUACGGGAGGCAGCAGUAGGGAAUCUUGGACAAUGGGCGAAAGCCUGAUCCAGCCAUGCCGCGUGUGUGAUGAAGGCCUUAGGGUUGUAAAGCACUUUCGCCAGGGAAGAUAAUGACGGUACCUGGAUAAGAAGCCCCGGCUAACUUCGUGCCAGCAGCCGCGGUAAUACGAAGGGGGCUAGCGUUGUUCGGAAUUACUGGGCGUAAAGCGCACGUAGGCGGUUUUCCAAGUUGGAGGUGAAAUCCCCGGGCUUAAC
rnacentral:rRNA from 1 species